CAGUAGCCGCGGUAAAACGUAGGUGGCAAGCGUUGUUCGGAGUUACUGGGCGUAAAGGGUGUGUAGGCGGUUCUCUAAGUCUGGUGUGAAAUCUCCCGGCUCAACCGGGAGGGUGCGCCGAAAACUGGGGAGCUAGAGUAUGGGAUGGGAAAGUGGAAUUCCUGGUGUAGCGGUGAAAUGCGUAGAUAUCAGGAGGAACACCGGUGGUGUAGACGGCUUUCUGGACCAUAACUGACGCUGAGACACGAAAGCGUGGGUAGCAAACAGGAUUAGAUACCCGGGUAGUCCCUGUCUCUUAUAC
rnacentral:rRNA from 1 species